rnacentral:rRNA from 1 species
UACGAAGGGUGCAAGCGUUACUCGGAAUUACUGGGCGUAAAGCGUGCGUAGGUGGUUUGUUAAGUCUGAUGUGAAAGCCCUGGGCUCAACCUGGGAACGGCAUUGGAAACUGGCUUACUAGAGUGCGGUAGAGGGGUGUGGAAUUCCCGGUGUAGCAGUGAAAUGCGUAGAUAUCAAGUGGAACACCGGUGGCGAAGGCGAGUCCCUGGACAACACCUGACACUGAGGCACGAAAGCUAGGGGAGCAAACAGG